AUGGACACAUUGCAAGUAGGGCAAUUUGGGUUGGUUUUGCAGCAAGCCAAAGCCCCACUGAUUGUGCCAUUGCUGAAGUUUUUGGUGGUUGUGUGCUUGGGCAUGUCUGUGAUGCUUUUUGUGGAGAAGGUGUACAUGGGCAUAAUAAUAAUAUUUAUUAAGCUGUUUAGAAGAAGGCCUGUGAAGCAUUGGAAAUGGGAGGCCAUUAAGGACGAUGUUGAGCUUGGGAACUCAGCUUACCCUAUGGUUCUUGUGCAAAUUCCUAUGUACAAUGAAAGAGAGGUACUUGUUUCUUUUUUCUUUUGAAAAGAUAGUUUUUUUUUUUUUUUGUAUUUGGAGUUUUUCUUAGAAGUGCAUUCUGCUGCUUGAUGCAGGUUUAUCAGCUUUCUAUUGGAGCUGCAUGUGGGCUUUCCUGGCCUUCUGAUAGGAUCAUAAUUCAAGUUCUCGAUGAUUCAACAGAUCCAACCAUUAAGGUACUCAUUUAUUUAAUUUAAUGAUUUUUUUUUUUCUCCUUUCGCAUAUUCUUUAACCGAAGUUGAUAGACCAAUAUGUCAUAUUGCUCUGGUACAGUGUAAAUAUGUACUAGGCAUUUAAAUAAACAUGUUCAAUCAUUGAUACUGUAAUUCUAUUACGUAAUAUGUUAGACUGUUUGAUAAGAAGAUAUUUUAUAUUAAUUUGUACGCUGAUUAAGGUUUUUUUUAGUGUUUGUGGGUCAAAUCUUAUAAAAGUGUAUUAAUGAUUAGUCUAUCAAAGUGAAACAGUCCCGAUCUCUUGGACCACAGGAGUCCAAGAGAUUGUGGUCACCCACCGUUGGAUAUUAAUCCAAUGGUUCAAAAUGAUAUAUAUAAAUGCAAUAUGACAUAAAUGAUUAUUACCCGAUUCAAGUCAACCGUUGAAUUUACAUCCAACGGUGAAUGACCAUAAAUUUCUUGGACUACAGGGGUCCAAGAGAUCAGAACUGCAACGGUCAAAGUGAAAAUAUUAGUUUAUGAGAGUAAAAAAAGUCAUCUUGGUCACCCUCAUAGAUAAAUUUUAACCAAUCAAAAUCCAUAAACUAAUGUUUACCAAUCCAAACGUGCUCUAAAUCCAUAAAGCAACCCAACCAAACUCAGCCACGCGACUUUGGCCUCCUACUUUUAAGCAUUCCCUUUUGGGAAAAGAGUACAAAGCAGCAAUUUCCCCAUCAAAACACAUAAAGACCAAAACUUUCCCAAUUCACUCAACAAACCUUUAAUUUCUGAUGUGGGUUUUUGGCCUGAAAUAAAACUACAGGAUUUGGUGGAGCGAGAAUGCCAAAGAUGGGCAAGCAAAGGAAUAAACAUAAAGUACGAGAUCAGAGACAACAGAAAUGGGUACAAAGCAGGGGCCCUCAAGGAAGGCAUGAAGCACAGUUAUGUCAAACAGUGUGACUAUGUUGCCAUCUUUGAUGCUGACUUCCAACCUGAACCUGAUUUUCUCUACCGCACCAUUCCAUUUCUGGUCCACAACUCUGAUAUUGCCCUUGUUCAAGCUCGCUGGAAAUUUGGUAAUCAUAUGAUUAAUCUUGUUUUUAUUGUCUUUAAUUAAAUUAAGCUCGUUACUGCCUUGGUUUGGUUUUGGUGACAACCAUCCUUGCUAUGAAUUAUGAAUUUGACAAUGCUUCUUUUCUUUAAAAAAGAUGUAGAAAUCUAGAGCUAGUGCUUAGAUACAGGGGAAGUUUUAGUCCACAUAUGUUAGUUAGCUGACGCAUGAGAAACCAAAUCCCGAUUAAUUGAGCACUUAACAAUUGCAGGGUUUUCAAUUUUAUGGAUUUUUAAUUGUAUUUGUUUAGAUUCUGCUGUGAAAUAACUUGUGAGAGAGAGGAUAAGUCUUUACUGGUUAUCCAAUAUAGGAAAAUAGAGUUGUAAAAACACAAGGGUAAGGGUAAGGGAUGAUGAUGGCUUCUUGGUGGCAUUGCAGUAAAUUCGGAUGAGUGUUUGAUGACAAGAAUGCAAGAGAUGUCACUGGAUUACCAUUUCACGGUGGAGCAAGAAGUGGGGUCUGCAACUUAUGCCUUCUUUGGUUUCAAUGGUAUAUCUUAUUUUAUUUUUUGAAAAUUACCAAAGGAGCUAUGAAGAAAAGUUUCAAGUAUCCCUAAUUAAUGAUAUGACACUGAGAAUGUGAUGCAGGCACGGCGGGUGUGUGGAGAAUUGCAGCGCUCAAUGAGGCUGGAGGAUGGAAGGACCGCACAACAGUAGAGGAUAUGGAUUUAGCAGUCCGAGCUAGUCUCAGAGGCUGGAAAUUUGUAUAUCUUUCUGACCUUAAGGUAAUGAAGUUUGUUAAAACGGUUGUAAUCUUGCAAAAAUAUCAAGAAAUCUCAAAAGAAGUUAGCUACCUAAGCUUACAACGAGCUAGAAUCAGACAUCCUCUGUUAUUGAGGCUUCAUAAAUUACCUCGGAAAUAAAAUUAUGCUGUUUUAGUACAAUUCCAUUGACAUGAGCAAAUCCCACAUGAUGCUUUCUUUGUUUCUGGGAAGAAAAAGGCAUGCAUGCAUGUAUAGUGCACGUACUGUAGAUGUAAUAUGAAAACAUGUUGGGAAAACAAUGGAAACUUGUUUACUAACCAAUCUGAGUAGAGAGCAACUCGUAGUCAACUUUUCAUUGGACUUUUCCUCGUUGUGUGAUAUUUUCAAUAUUACCAUUUCACAUUUGAUCCCGUAUUAAUAAUUGUCUACAUUUCAGGUGAAAAGUGAAUUGCCAAGUACGUUCAAAGCCUACCGUUAUCAGCAGCAUCGAUGGUCUUGUGGCCCUGCUAAUCUCUUUAGAAAGAUGGUAAUGGAGAUUGUGAGAAACAAGGUAUUUCCCAACCAUAUCUGUUUUAGUUUUUGCCUAAGUUUAUUCCUUCAUACUCACUGUUACUUUACAAUAUAUUGCAGAAGGUGUCCCCAUUGAAGAAGUUUCAUGUGAUCUACAGCUUUUUCUUUGUUCGCAAAAUUGUAGCACAUAUCGUCACAUUUGUCUUCUACUGUGUCAUUUUACCAGCAACGGUUUUGGUUCCUGAAGUUCAAGUUCCCAUUUGGAGUGCUGUUUACAUUCCUUCUACCAUUACUCUCCUCAAUGCUGUUGGAACUCCUAGGUCUCCUACUCUUCCCUUUGUUCUUUUUCUUUUUUAGUGAGCCAGUUUUCUUUUUUGUCUUGUGGUACGUUGCAUUAUUAAUGGCAAUCUAUUUAGCUUUUCAACCCAAAACGCAGUGUUUUCUUUGGGUUUGGGUUUACUGUGGGUAACGUUGUUGUUUCAACUUGUUAUAAACUUUAGCAAACCUGCAGAACUUCUAGCUCUGCAUUGACAGAUAUGCAAAUGUUUUCCUUUGUAUUUACUUAUUCAUUGCUAAUGGUUUCGAGGUCAUAUUUACAGAUCACUCCACCUAUUGAUUUUCUGGAUCCUCUUUGAGAAUGUGAUGUCUCUGCACCGGACUAAGGCGACAUUUAUAGGUCUUUUUGAAGCAGGGAGAGUAAAUGAAUGGGUCGUCACUGAGAAACUGGGAGAUGCUCUCAAGAAAAAAUUAGGUGCAAAAGCUCCCAAGAAACCUCGAUUAAGAAUUGGAGAAAGGUAUAAAUCUAUGCAUUUGGUUUCUGUUCUGUUGAUAGAAUUCCUUUAAAAUGAAUAACUUUUCAAUUUGUUAUGAUAGCAUUUGAUGCCACAAGAUCUUGUCAAAUGUAAGAAUAUGAAGUUUACAUUUUCUUUUCUUGUGAUUACUAAUAAACAGACUGCAUGUGCUUGAGCUCAUUGUUGGAUUCUACCUCUUCUUCUGCGGCUGCUAUGACCUUGCCUUUGGAAAGAACGGAUACUUUAUCUACCUAUUCAUCCAAUCUGUUGCAUUCUUCAUUGCGGGGGUUGGUUAUGUUGGCACCUUUGUCCCCAACUCAUAG
rnacentral:lncRNA from 1 species